AUGGCGCCCGUGCCGGCGACCACCUACAGCCCGCUGCUCCGAGCCGUCUCUUUAGCGCAGAGCACAGCCCUCCGCGCCCCCUUCGUCGUCCGUCUCUGCUGGCGACCUCCACCACCAUGCGCCGCGCGCCCAACCUCCAGCUCACGCCUGUGUCCCUCCAGCAUCGAUGAGGACCACCUCCGACCUCCACGUCCUCUGCUUCACCUCCUCGCGCCCGUGCUCCUCCCGUUGUUUGGUCUUCCUUACCCACCUAUCAGGGACGCCAUGGCUGCCGCCCCAUGGAGUUUCAUCGGCCCAUAUCUGGCCGGGAACCAAACGAGCCCCGUGCCUGCUGCUGCCGCUGUUUUUCCCUCUGUCAAACGAAUGAACACCUUCCCCGGAGACUGCCAAGACCGUUCAGGAUUCGCCAAGUACCGGUUCGAGUACGACUAUCGCUGA
rnacentral:rRNA from 1 species